UCGGCCUGCAGCUCGCAGCCCCCCCCCGGACCACGCGUCUCUGAGCGGGGCGGAGCUCAGGGGCCCCGGCGGAGGCCCUCAGCCGCCGUGGGGUGAAGCUGCUGGCUCCGCUCCGGCUGUCCAGUACCAUGAGCCACUGUACAAUAAUGAGCUGCCAGACCACUGCUGUGCAGAAUGUAGGAAUCAAAGGCGUCAGCAAAUUGCAAAGAAGCAACUCUGCCAAGCCACUCCAGAACCUAGGUGUGUUUGGAUCUGAGGCUUCAUUCAGAAUUGUCCUCUCCUCUCUCAGCCAUCCUGCAUGUUCUGCCCUUCUUCGGCUUCAAGAUCCUGGCAGAGCAGGCUGUCAGCCUGCAUAGGGAAGGGAAAAACCUCUGUCUCUGUGAUAUCCUCAUUUGAACCAGCUCAGCUAUAAGUUGGCAACCCUAUGCAGCAAGCAGGCCCUCACAAAGUAAAGCAUCCAAGAACCUGCCCGAAGCCUGGGAGGGACAGAGCGGCUGACUGGGUACACCAGGACAGGAGCCAAGAGGAGCACUGUGCCAGGGAGGAAAUUUCCCAAGAAGGACAAACUGGAGUUGGACCCAGUACCCCUGCUGCCCAGAGCUAGGAAGACUUCUCCUUUGGCUCAAGAGUCAAAAGUACUUAAAAAAAAUCCAAAUCAACCCUACCAGAGGAGGGAGUCAGCAUACCAGAGGAGAAACGGAGUCACAGCCACACCUGAUGCCAGAAAGAUACAGUUUUCCCAUAGGAGGUGAAGGGGCACUAAAGGAGGAGCCAGAAAACAGAAGAGAAGAAGACAGCAAAGACAGAUGACCAAGAAUGUAGAUUUGGACAUGGUCAUUAGAACAACGCUUC